GGAGAGGUGUCCGAGUGGUUGAAGGAGCACGCUUGGAAAGCGUGUGUAGUGGAAACGCUACCGAGGGUUCGAAUCCCUCCCUCUCCGCCA
rnacentral:tRNA from 1 species